AAAUUCCUAUUUUUGAGUGCUAAGUGCCAGGCACUAUUCUGGGUGUUGGACAUACAGCAAUGAACAAUUCUUGGAGGAGAAAAUAAAUAUAACAAAACCAAAUGUUAAGUGCUGGGAAGAAAAAAGUAAGACAGGAAGGGAAUAGGGAGUGAUGAUGAAGCUGCUGUCAUCAUUAAUAGGGUAGCCAGGGAAGGCUUCCUGGAGUGACAUUUGCAGAGACCAUAGGAAGUGAGACAGAAAUCCAAGCAGACAUGAGAUAAGAGUUCCAGACAUUAGAAAGGGCAGCUGCAAAGUCGGUGAAACAGCCUAAUAGUGGUUAAAGUUAAAUGAACAAAAGGAAGAGCAGGUCAGAGAGGUAGUGCAAUCCUGUGAUGUAAGGCCUGUAGUCCUUUAAAAAAAAGAUUUUCACUUUUACUCUGAGAUGGGAAGUCAUUUGAGAGUUUGUAGCAUCGAAGUGACAGGAUCUAGAUUAGGUUUUUAUUAGGCUCACUUUGGUUGCUGGAUUGAGAUUGGACCUGUUGGCAGUAAUCCAGGAGAAAGACUGAUGACUUGGUGGUAAAAUGGAUUUGAGAAGUGGCUAGAUUGGGGAUCUAUUUAAAAACCAAUAGGAUUUGCUGUCAUACUGGCUUGGGGAGGAAUGGCCCCAAGGCUUUGAGGCUGAUUAAAGAUGCGUUACCAUUACCAAAUGGGAAGACUUGCGUUGGGGCGUAAAGCUCGGGUUUUGGCCUAAUAGAUAUUCAAACCUUGUCAAGGCGGCAUCUAUUUGAGUCUAGGUUUCAGGGGAGGGGCUGGGCCGGGGAUAUAAAUCUGGAAGUCCUCAGUAUACAGCAUUUAAAACUCGUGAGACUAGAUGAAAAACUGUCACCAAGAAAGUGAGUGUAGCUAGAAAAGAGGUCGAAAGGCAGAGUAGUGGGACACUCCAACAUCUAGAGAGACUGGGGAACUUAGGGCGGAAGGAGGAAAGCAAACGGAGACGUACUGGCUACAGAGGUUGGCGGUGCACUGUGAUGACCUGGACGUCCGUGAGGGAACUAUUCGAGAAGACUGAUAAACGUGUCCAGUGCUGCUAGCAGGUCAGCCAGUCUGCCCGAAGGGCCUGCAAGAUCCCCACCAGAAGCAGGCUGCAUGGAGAAGACUUGAAGUACCAGUGAGCUAAAGAGAACAUUUCUGGGCUGGAUCAGAGAUGAGACAGAAAAAAGACAGAUUUGAAGCAUGAAAGGGACUCCAACCCAAAGUUUCUGGCUUUGAAGACAGAGGAAGGAAGCCUCAAGUGAUUGAAUACAGCAGUGGCCGGUAGGAGCAGGAAAUAACCCUCAGCAGACAGCCAGUAAGAAGGCAAGAAACUUAGUCUUACCACAUAGGGAAGUGAAUUGUUAACAACCCGAAUGAGCUGGAAUCGGUCUCUCCUGUACAGCCUCUAGAAAGGAACACAGCCUGUCAACCCAUUGAUUUACAGGAUUUCUGACCUCCAGAACUGAAAGAUAAUAAAUCUGUGUUAUUUGAAGCUGCUAGGCUGUGAUAAUUUGUUAUGGCGGCAAUAAAAAACUAAUACAACACCUAUUUGGGGGUUCAUCCUUUUCAUGGAUUUCUCCUUGGAUUAUCCCCCUUAACUUUUCAAUUCCAGUGGCCUCAAACUCUGUUUUCUGUCCCCUUCAAGCCACUCAGGUUGUGGUGGCUGUCUGCCGUUAGAGCUGCUCAUGGAUUGGGGUUGCCCUCAGGUGAAAAGCCACAAACUCACAAAUCUCAACAAUUUCCAUUCCUUUCAAGAGUGGUCUCCUCUCCAGUUUUUGCCUUCUUUUGGUCCAUCUCCAAGGCCUUCAAAUAACUUUUUAAAAUAUUUCGCUUAGACUUUUAUCAUUGUUAUGUGCAGGUAUGUUAGCCAACCAUUACCAAAAGCUAGACCCUCAUUAUAUUCUUCUGCCUACUUUCAUGUUUGCAAUGUUCCAUAAUAAAAUA